UGUGAGUGAACACACCUCACGAACACACCUCACUUUCCCCGUCUGACUGCCACACACGCCGAGGUGGUAUGGCGUCGCCAGGUUCUUGCGUUGCCUGCUCCAGUACAAGGCUGAAUACAUUUCUGCAGGAGCUGCAGGUAAUAUCAUUUGGACUGGGAUAACUGAAACCUCACAGCAGGAAUGUGCAGCUACAUCUAAUGGGAAAAAACUUUUUUUUUUUUGGCUACAUUUAGCCCAUAACAGUUAAUGAUGUGAUGUGCCAUAUAUCAUCAGUCAGUUCAGUUCAGUUCCAGCUUUUUCUGUCUAGCAAUUCUUCAGCUUGGUGUAUGGCCUGAACUUGUGCUAAAGGUGGAUAAAACUAAGAGCCAAAACAUUAAAACUAACUGCAUAACUGUUACAUGUCAGUGGACAUUAACCAGCUGAAGACCCUCUUCAAAAAAAAGAUACAUUUAGAAAAGCAGCUUAAAUUAAGGCAUUCAAGCAAAAUUUGAAUGAAGAUUCUGUGAUAUGCACAACAGUCUCAGUGCUGAGCUCUUUGAAGAUGACUUGCCAAAGAAGCUUUGAAGUAAAAAGUGAAUAGCUUUAUUGGAAAAAAAAAAAGAAAAUGAAAUGGAGUGGCAUCUAAUGAUUAUCUGGCUCAUCAUCCAUAUCCAAAGCAAAAAGGAACCUGCUGCUGUGACUCUCUGCAAGACAGGCAUCUUAAGAUACCAAGGGAAUACUCUAUAGCAAACCUCGUAAUAAUGGAAUGGACCACAAAAUGAGCACAUAAUGGUGUUCACUUACUGAAUUUAUUGUGUAAAGUUAUUCGCUCACAAUAAAAUUUUAAAACCAGCCUUUCUUUUGAAGGUAGAAGCCCCCAAUGCUCUACAUCAGACAUGUCAGCCGUGUUACUUGCUAACAUUUUACUUUGUGUUAGAAUGUCACGGACUGCUGAUUUCUGACACUGUUUACUUGAUAAAUUAAUAUUCAAUCAAAUUAACCUACGCUGAAUAACAAUAUUAAUUUUUGUCAUCACCUUAUUAUUAAAUUUAUUGCAAUUAUGAUCCCUAAAAACUGCUUUACUCACUUGGCACUUGCUUGAAUUUGAUUUGUACAUUUGAUUUAAAAUGUCAGUAAUGCUGAAUUCUUUGAUACAACUAUCAUCUUAAAACACAAUUGUUUUCACAAAUAACUCUACAAUUGAUUUUGCAAAAUUUUAUGAUCAAUUUUCUUCAAAAAAUUUCCUGAUAAAAGAAAAUUUUAUUUACUCACCUCUAAAAUUUGACGAUGGGUAAAGCAACCAUUUCAAAAUUGGAAAUAAAAAUAUGUAGACCGUU